rfam:Ancylostoma ceylanicum strain HY135 Acey_s0571_scaf, whole genome shotgun sequence.
CCAACGGCCCUCUUUAGGGCCACAAUCCAUAUUCACGAAUACAAUAG